rnacentral:lncRNA from 1 species
UGCUUAGCGGCCUGCUGAGAGAGAAGAAGAAAAAAAUUUGAUUGAAACUUUUUUUAUCUUCUCUCCGCUCCAUUUUUCUUUUACUUCGAUGUUCAGCAUUUUUUUUUUUUUUCUUCUUUCAACUUCUCUCCCAAAAUAUUUUUUUAUCUUCCCUUCACUCCGAUGAUUAAUAUUUUUUUAUUUUUUUGUUUGAACAAUCGAAGUAACUCG